AGAGUUUGAUCCUGGCUCAGGACGAACGCUGGCGGCGUGCUUAACACAUGCAAGUCGAGCGGGGACAGAUUAAAAGCUUGCUUCCGAUCUGUUCUAGCGGCGGACGGGUGAGUAACGCGUGAGCAACCUUUCCUUCACUGGGGAAUAACACAGGGAAACUUGUACUAAUACCGCAUGAGACCACAGCACUGCAUGGUGCAGGGGUCAAAGAUUUAUCGGUGAAGGGUGGGCUCGCGUCCGAUUAGGUAGUUGGUGAGGUAACGGCCCACCAAGCCGACGAUCGGUAGCCGACCUGAGAGGGUGAUCGGCCACAUUGGGACUGAGACACGGCCCAAACUCCUACGGGAGGCAGCAGUGGGGAAUAUUGGGCAAUGGGGGAAACCCUGACCCAGCAACGCCGCGUGGAGGAAGAAGGUUUUCGGAUCGUAAACUCCUGUCCUCAGGGAAGAGCAGAAGACGGUACCUGAGGAGGAAGCCCCGGCUAACUACGUGCCAGCAGCCGCGGUAAUACGUAGGGGGCAAGCGUUGUCCGGAAUGAUUGGGCGUAAAGGGCGCGUAGGCGGCCCGGUAAGUCUGGAGUGAAAGUCCUUCUUUCAAGGAGGGAAUUGCUUUGGAUACUGUCGGGCUUGAGUGCAGGAGAGGUAAGUGGAAUUCCCAGUGUAGCGGUGAAAUGCGUAGAGAUUGGGAGGAACACCAGUGGCGAAGGCGACUUACUGGACUGUAACUGACGCUGAGGCGCGAAAGUGUGGGGAGCAAACAGGAUUAGAUACCCUGGUAGUCCACACUGUAAACGAUGAAUGCUAGGUGUAGGAGGUAUGGACGCCUUCUGUGCUGGAGUUAACACAAUAAGCAUUCUUCCUGGGGAGUAGGGCGGCAAGGUUGAAACUCAUAGGAAUUGACGGGGGGCCGCACAAGCAGCGGAGCAUGUGGUUUAAUUAGUCGCAACGCGAAGAACCUUAUCAGGUCUUGACAUCCAGUAAAUCCUGCAGAGAUGCAGAGUGAGCUUGCUCGUACUGAGACAGGUGGUGCAUGGUUGUCGUCAGUUCGUGUCGUGAGAUGUUGGGUUAAGUCCCGCAACGAGCGCAACCCCUACUUUUAGUUAUUAACGUGUAAAGGCGAGGACUCUGACAAGACUGCCGGGGACAACUCGGAGGAAGGUGGGGACGACGUCAAAUCAUCAUGCCCCUUAUGUCCUGGGCUACAAACGUGCUACAAUGGUGGUUACAAAGAGGAGGGAGCACGUGAAUGUAAGCGGAUUUCAAAAAAGCCAUCUCAGUUCGGAUUGUGGGCUGCAACCCGCCCACAUGAAGUUGGAGUUGCUAGUAAUCGCGGAUCAGCAUGCCGCGGUGAAUACGUUCCCGGGCCUUGCACACA
rnacentral:rRNA from 1 species